rnacentral:rRNA from 1 species
AGCAGCCGCGGUAAUUCCAGCUCCAAUAGCGUAUAUUAAAGUUGUUGCAGUUAAAAAGCUCGUAGUUGAAUUUCGGGAUUAGUAUGUCGGUCGUGCUUCGGUACGUACUGUCAUUACUGGUUUCUCCCUUCUGAAGAACCAUGAUGUCAUUAAUUUGGUGUCUUGGGAAAUCAGGACUGUUACUUUGAAAAAAUUAGAGUGUUUAAAGCAGGCAUACGCUUGAAUACAUUAGCAUGGAAUAAUGAAAUAGGACGUUUGAUUCUAUUUUGUUGGUUUCUAGGAUCGACGUAAUGAUUAAUAGGGAUAGUUGGG